UACCCCAGGUCAGGCGGGGCUACCCGCCGAGUUUAAGCAUAU
rnacentral:rRNA from 1 species